ACGAUGUCGAUGUCGACUGUCCAGCGUCGAGUUCGUGUAGCAAAAAAUAAUUUAUUUGUCGACGUUUUUGUGUUUUAAUUAUGUGAAUAAUGAGAUGAAAGUGUAAAUAAAUGUUAGAUUAGUGUUCGCUAGUGAUUAUGGCGCAUAGUGGUGGUGUUUUAAGUUCAGAUAUAUCUAGAAGGAACCCGCAAGAUGAGUAUGAGCUCAUUCAGAGGAUUGGUUCGGGCACUUACGGAGAUGUCUACAAGGCGAAACGCCUCAACGGCAAUGGCGAGCUUGCCGCCAUCAAGGUGAUAAAGUUGGAGCCGGGUGACGACUUCGCCAUCAUCCAGCAGGAGAUACUCAUGAUGAAGGACUGUCGCCACCCCAACAUCGUCGCCUACUACGGCUCCUACCUGCGCAGAGACAAGCUGUGGAUAUCCAUGGAGUACUGUGGUGGAGGCAGCUUGCAGGACAUCUACCAUGUGACCGGUCCGCUGACGGAACUGCAGAUCGCGUACAUGUGCAAAGAGACGCUCAUGGGCCUCUCCUACCUGCACAGUAUGGGCAAAAUGCACAGAGACAUAAAAGGCGCCAACAUCCUUCUAACAGAAUGCGGCGAUGUCAAGUUGGCGGAUUUCGGCGUGUCUGCACAAAUAACAGCCACCAUCAACAAGCGGAAGAGCUUUAUCGGGACGCCUUAUUGGAUGGCGCCUGAGGUAGCAGCGGUAGAAAGGAAAGGUGGUUACAAUCAGCUCUGUGAUAUUUGGGCCUGUGGGAUUACAGCAAUAGAAUUGGCGGAACUCCAACCACCGAUGUUCGAACUCCACCCGAUGAGGGUUCUCUUCCUAAUGUCAAAGUCAGGGUUCAAACCCCCUCAACUGAAGGAGAGGGAGCGAUGGUCGCAGCUCUUUCACGCGUUCCUCAAACUGGCGUUAACCAAGAACCCCAAGAAACGACCCACGGCCGACAAACUGUUACAGCACGCGUUCUUCCAACAAGACAUGAAUAAGCGACUCGCGAUAGAACUUCUGCAAAAGUAUUCCAACCCGCCGAACCAUUGCAACAGUCAAGAGUUGGAUGAGGAUGGGGCGAUAUCAGCUAAUGUACCGCAUCGGAUAGAGUCUCGACAGACGCGCGGACGCAGGGACGCGCGUCCGCGCAGUCUGCUAGACCCGAGAACCACUCCUCGAGAACACCACACCCAUCUUACUGAUCACGGUUUAAGAUUAGCGUCAGACGAAGAUCGUGAAGCCAACCGUCGCUCCGGAGUGUAUGAUGACUCUCCCAUCAUAGAUCUGGACGCGGAGGAUGAGCUCAGUCUGUCGAUGCCUAAAGUUAUCAAUUUCAACGCCGAAGUCAAUAGGAGUUGUGACGGUGAUACUAUUAAACGAAAUAUGUACCACAGACAAUCAAGCGAAGACUGGAGCGUAGCCUCUCUUAUGAGUUGUCCUAAACACAAUCCAUUGACACAGGACCUAUCGACCGAUAGCAUGCCGACUAGCGAAAACAAGUGGUGUCGGGUCGUCACCGGUGAUGAUAUUAUGAGAAUGAGUUUGAGGGCAACAUUACCUUUGACAGCUGAGAACGUAUCAUUGACCCAAGCAUCGAAUUCAGGACUCUCUAUCCACGACCAACAUCUAUCUCAAUGCAUACAACUAAAGCAGAACUUUCUAAAUAAUUCCACCACGAACGUCCACCAAAGCCUCGCUUCUAAUUUCCAAUCACCUUUGACUUCCUCAAUUUCCAUAGACGAUCCUAUAUCGAGAAAACCAGAAAACGAUAUACUGUAUGUAGACGCGUUAGAUACUGAAGUCGUUAACGAUACAGCUAUGAGGAAUGCGAAUUGUGAAUGCGGUCUAUGCCCCAAACCACAGACAAGAGAAAUCAAUACUUUAAGCGAUUUACAAAGAUCAGUAGCACCGAAAUGCUCAUGUGACGCAUGCAAUUCUAACGGUGACAUACUAAGCUAUUAUAGACAUUGUUCAAAUCAAAACUCAGAUUCUGGGAUCGUUUAUUGCGAAACGUGCAAAAAACAAAAGAUAUCGAUAUCAAAUUUCCGAGCGCUACAAAUCACAAAUCGAUUACGGAUAUCGGAUACAGAUAGAAUCGAAAAUGGAGCGAAUUCUGACGACGAUUUGUGUAGAAAAAUCGAUUUGAGUUUGGAUAUGGAGGAUAAAUCGUAUGAGCAUAGGAAAAGGCAUAAUCGGCACAAUUCCGAUUCGGUGACAGCUGGAAUCGAUUUGAAUCAGUUCUGUCAGUGUGAAUUGGAGAGUUUAAAUAAAAGGAAAACAUCGUCUGUUGAUGAGAUUUUCAAGAUGGUGGAGGAAAAUGGGAGGGAUGGGGUAACGGAGUCGAUCGGUGAGGAGGUGAAGACGAGUCAGAGGCAACGGAGCCUGUCGGAUAGUCAGCGGGACAAGGCCAAAGUAGAUGUCGUAGGGGAUGCCAGUAGUACACCGCCGGUGCCGCCGAGGCGAGCGCGCGGGCGUCGAACCCGGACCCCGCCGCGGCCCGCGCCCAACGGACUCCCCCCCACGCCUAAAGUACACAUGGGAGCUUGCUUUUCCAAGGUAUUCAACGGUUGCCCUCUGAGGAUAAACUGCACGGCAUCUUGGAUACAUCCUGACACACGAGAUCAACACAUCCUCAUAGGUGCUGAAGAAGGUAUCUACACAUUGAACCUGAACGAACUCCACGAGACGGCGAUGGACCAGCUGUGUCCGCGACGGACAAUAUGGAUGCACGUUAUCAAAGACGUGCUAAUGUCACUCUCUGGUAAAACCCCCUCCCUCUACCGGCACGAAUUACUCGCGCUUUCGGGUAGCGGGAGGGGAGGGAAAACCGGCGGCGCGCGUUCUCUGAGGGUACUACCUCCCAGAUUACUGCCGCGAAGGUUCGCGCCCACCACCCGAGUACCUGACACUAGAGGUUGUAUGCGUUGCGCGGUGGCACGCAAUCCGUACAACGGGUAUAAGUACCUUUGUGGCGCCACGCCCGCCGGCCUCUUCCUCAUGCAGUGGUACGACCCGCUGAGAAAGUUUAUGUUAUUAAAGAACAUAGAUUGCGUGCUGCCCACACCGCUACUGGCCUUUGAGCUGAUAAUCACUCCGGAAUUGGAGUACCCACUUCUCUGUAUAGGGGUGACGAGGAAACCCCUGAGGCUCAACCUUGUUAACAUAAACUCUGGAGCGACGUGGUUCCAUUCUGACGAGUUGGACCUGUGUCCGGGGGGAUCCAAUACUGUGAUACCGAGACCUGAAAGACUGCACACUUUGAGAGCCGUUCACCAGUUGAAUAAGGACGCUGUGCUAGUUUGCCACGAGAAUGUGGUGGACAUAAUCCCGGUGCUGCCGGGCGGGGAGAGACGGCGCAACAAACUACCUUCGAGAAUACAGUUCGACUUCCACAUAGAUAGUAUACUAUGUCUAGCGGACUCCGUACUAGCGUUCCACAGACACGGCGUUCAGGGCCGCUCGCUACGGAACUCUGAUAUCACGCAAGAGAUCACAGACCACUCGCGAGCAUAUAGGCUGCUUGGACAUGACAAAGUUGUAGUCCUGGAGUCGCAUAUCCUACAAAACAACACGCUUUCAGGCGAAGACGGGAACGAUCUUUAUAUCCUAGCGGGCCACGAAGCUUCUUACUAACUUUACGUAACGUGCGCUUGUAUUUAGCGUACAAAAACACGUGUGCGUUUAACUUUAUCCUGCGAAGAUUGUUCGAUAUCUUAGCGUUUAAUGAGUGAGUGAUGUCCAUUAUAAAUAUGACUAAUAACCGACUGGACUCACGGUAUUAGUCAAAGUAAGCCCGACUAAUUUAAAACCGGCCAAGUGCGAGUCAGACUCGGGCACUGAGGGUUUCGUACUCGGGUAUUUUUUUUCCAACAUUUUGCACGAUAAAUCAAAAACGACUGCGAUAGUAGCUGGACAUAGGUCUCUUGUAGGACCUUUCACACGCCACGUUCUUGCGCCGCCGCUAUCCAGCGGCUCCCAUAGACUUGCGUGAUGUCGUCUGUCCACCUAGUGGGUCUUCCAACACUUGUUUUUUUUUACACGACGACUAUCCGUUGAUGAUGAUGAUUAUUGUACGAGGUCUUUUUAGUCCAUAGGGAUGAUGAAUACUAGUCAAAUCAGAGACUUUGACCAUCAUCAUCAUCAGCCUGUGGACGUCCACUGUUGGACAUAGGCCUUCCCUAUAGAGCGCCACCACA